UGGGGAAUAUUGCACAAUGGGCGCAAGCCUGAUGCAGCCAUGCCGCGUGUAUGAAGAAGGCCUUCGGGUUGUAAAGUACUUUCAGUCGGGAGGAAGGUGGUAAGGUUAAUAACCUUAUCAAUUGACGUUACCGACAGAAGAAGCACCGGCUAACUCCGUGCCAGCAGCCGCGGUAAUACGGAGGGUGCAAGCGUUAAUCGGAAUUACUGGACGUAAAGCGCACGCAGGCGGUUGAUUGAGUCAGAUGUGAAAUCCCCGGGCUUAACCCGGGAAUUGCAUCUGAUACUGGUCAGCUAGAGUCUUGUAGAGGGGGGUAGAAUUCCAUGUGUAGCGGUGAAAUGCGUAGAGAUGUGGAGGAAUACCGGUGGCGAAGUCGGCCCCCUGGACAAAGACUGACGCUCAGGUGCGAAAGCGUGGGGAGCAAACAGG
rnacentral:rRNA from 1 species